UACAGAGGUCUCAAGCGUUGUUCGGAUUCAUUGGGCGUAAAGGGCGCGUAGGCUGCGGGGCAAGUCGGGUGUGAAAUCUCAGAGCUCAACUCUGAAACUGCACUCGAUACUGCUUUGCUUGAGGACUGGAGAGGAGAUUGGAAUUCACGGUGUAGCAGUGAAAAUGCGUAGAUAUCGUGAGGAAGACCAGUGGCGAAGGCGGAUCUCUGGACAGUUCCUGACGCUGAGGCGCGAAGGCCAGGGGAGCAAACAGG
rnacentral:rRNA from 1 species